UGUCAGUGUCCUUCUCUAUGCAAAGUGAACUUCCUCACAGUCUGCUAUAAAGACUUGAUAUCAGCAGAAGAAGAGAAGCUCCCAUCAGAUCACCUUCAAUACCAACAUGUUCUCUGUAGCUCUGCUGCUGCUGCUGGCUGCUGGAUCCUGUGUGAAGUGUGAACAGUUGACACAGCCAGCCUCUGUGACUGUGCAGCCAGGUCAACGUCUGACCAUCACCUGUCAGGUCUCUUAUUCUGUUAGCAAUCAGCACACGCACUGGAUCAGACAGCCUGCAGGGAAAGGACUGGAGUGGAUUGGAGCUGCACGUGUUGGAUACACAACAAUUUACAAAGACUCACUGAAGAGCAGGUUCAGCAUCAGCUUACACUCCUCCAGCAACACAGUGACUCUGAGUGGACAGAAUGUGCAGCCUGAAGACUCUGCUGUGUAUUUCUGUGCCAGAGAGUCACAGUGAGAGACAACAAGAGGAGACUCAUGCAAAAACUAGUUCCUCUAUUUACACCACUGGG